rnacentral:tRNA from 1 species
UCGACCUCAAUGACAUCAAGAUCGUGAAGAAG